rnacentral:rRNA from 1 species
UACGGGGGGGGCAAGCGUUGUUCGGAAUUACUGGGCGUAAAGGGCUCGUAGGCGGCCAACUAAGUCGGAUGUGAAAUCCCCAAGCUUAACUUGGGAACUGCAUCCGAUACUGGAUGGCUUGAAUCCGGGAGAGGGAUGCAGAAUUCCAGGUGUAGCGGUGAAAUGCGUAGAUAUCUGGAGGAAUACCGGUGGCGAAGGCGGGCAU